rnacentral:lncRNA from 1 species
CCGCAUUGAUAUUUAUAUAGGAGUUGCAUUGGCUUACAAGAUGAAAGAACGAUCAUGAUUAUAUCGUUACGGUACAGAGAGAGAGAGAGAGAGAGAGAGAGAGAGAGAGAGGGAGAGGGAGAGGGAGAGGGAGAUGGAGAGGGAGAGGAGGGAGAGAGAGAGAGAUCAGGUUUAGAGAUAGAAUAGAUUUACAGGUUUAAACUGGUUUCCUAUCUCUAUACAACAUAUUCUAACACUCCUC